CGAGCUUGAGAGCUCAGGUAUCAUUCUUUCUUCCUUGAUAUCGUGGCCCCAUUUGUAACCUUCUCCCCCGAAUGCUUCGUGCUUUGAAGAGAGAGAGAGGGGAUCGAAUGCGAGAUCUAUACUCUAGAAGAUUGGUCUUUCUAUUUUUUGUGGACAGCUGGUUUGUUCUCCCUCGUCAUGUAUGCUUGCUCCUUUGGUUUAGUUUCUUAUAACGCUUUCGAACAGGCCAACGUAGCAGCUUCGAAGCUUUCAUUGCCCUUUGGCCCCAACCAAACUGUUGAUAGGUUCAUGACAUGCCUUUCAGCGUAUGUGUGCUUACACACUCUUUUCCUGUUACAUCAUCGGCAAUUGUAACCUUCCAAGUGCCAUAGUCUUCGUAGACAAUUCCAGCUGCUAUUUAUUCAUCGCUCUCAUGCCAAGGGAGCCAGGAUUGACCACAGGAUGAUCCAGGCUAUCGCUCUCAUUCUUUCCUUGUCCUGUUUGCUUCGUUUCCAGUCUUGGAUGAGAUUUAUAGCAGGAAUGAAAAUUUCUCAAUCCAGAAA